rnacentral:rRNA from 1 species
CGAACGCGAAGCCCCGCAAGGGGCAAGUAGAGUGGCAAACGGGUGAGUAACACGUGGGUGACCUGCCUUCGAGCGGGGGAUAACGUCCCGAAAGGGACGCUAAUACCGCAUAACAUCCUGCCUUUGAAGAGGCGGAGAUCAAAGCUGGGGAUCGCAAGACCCGGCACUUGAAGAGGGGCCCGCGUCUGAUUAGCUAGUUGGUGGGGUAACGGCCUACCAAGGCAACGAUCAGUAUCCGGCCUGAGAGGGCGGACGGACACACUGGGACUGAGACACGGCCCAGACUCCUACGGGAGGCAGCAGUGGGGAAUUGUUCGCAAUGGGCGCAAGCCUGACGACGCAACGCCGCGUGGAGGAUGAAGAUUUUCGGAUCGUAAACUCCUGUCGAAUGGGACGAACAGAUUGCGGGUUAACAGCCUGUAGUCCUGACGGUACCGUUAAAGGAAACCCCGGCUAACUCCGUGCCAGCAGCCGCGGUAAUACGGGGGGGGUAAGCGUUGUUCGGAAUUACUGGGCGUAAAGGGCUCGUAGGCGGCCAACUAAGUCAUACGUGAAAUCCCUCAGCUUAACUGGGGAACUGCGUGUGAUACUGGAUGGCUUGGAUUUGGGAGAGGGAUGCGGAAUUCCAGGUGUAGCGGUGAAAUGCGUAGAUAUCUGGAGGAACACCGGUGGCGAAGGCGGCAUCCUGGACCAAUAUUGACGCUGAGGAGCGAAAGCUAGGGG